CAAAUAUCACAGUGCACUCGGCUAGGGGUCACAGAUGACCGCGGGUAACUGUUUCUCUGAAAACGAACAAGGAAAGAGGACUUGAUAAACACGCGAAACAGAAAACAGGAUAAUCUGAGUGAGGGGCAGGUGAAAAUUUAAAGAAGUGUGAGGAAAUGAUGAAGGUCAAGUUUUGGGUCAACUCCCGUGGGCAACAGGAGAGGAAGCUGACCACCUGGAGAAGUGAGCUCUUUUCCUGUCUAGGAGUCACAGCUGCAUGGUUUUGCCACUAGUACUGCCAUUUGGAUGCCUAAGAUGAGCAGAAGAGUAUGUGUGAGUACUAAGCAAUCAAGGGGGUGAACUGAGUUAGAAGUAUUCCAUGGAUUCACUCAUCUGUCCUUCUAACCUCCAUCUACAUAGUUAGAAAGGACCAUAAGCUAAGAACGUUUCUCUUAGAAUUCUAGAGGAGAAUUAGUUUUGCAAAUCUUUAAAAGGAACAUGUCUAAGAUGAUGAAAGCAGAAAUGAAGCUGAGGCCAUUUUCCCGCACACUUUGGCUGUUUCAACUGCAAACAAAAACAAGGAAACGUGAGGUUUUCUACAGCAGUGCCUAUAAUGGCACUUUCCAAUUUUCUGGGCAUCAAGAGGCAACUGUGGCCACAGCAGCAGCAGAUUGAUUCUGGCUUCUGGAAUACUUGACUGCAGCUACGGACUAUGUUCGUAAACUCAGAGCUCCAGCAACAGCCUCACAUCUAUGCAGCUCUUACGUGGAUCGCUUCCACACUCUCUGGAAGUCAUUCCAGCUGGAACAGCCUAGUACCCAUUCUUUAUAUCUUCAGUCAAUUUAUAAGCACCUAAUUCCCUUGCAUUAAAUAU